AGUGAACUCUGGCGGUAGGCCUAACACAUGCAAGUCGAACGGCAGCACAGUAAGAGCUUGCUCUUACGGGUGGCGAGUGGCGGACGGGUGAGGAAUACAUCGGAAUCUACUUUUUCGUGGGGGAUAACGUAGGGAAACUUACGCUAAUACCGCAUACGACCUACGGGUGAAAGCAGGGGAUCUUCGGACCUUGCGCGAUUGAAUGAGCCGAUGUCGGAUUAGCUAGUUGGCGGGGUAAAGGCCCACCAAGGCGACGAUCCGUAGCUGGUCUGAGAGGAUGAUCAGCCACACUGGAACUGAGACACGGUCCAGACUCCUACGGUAGGCAGCAGUGGGGAAUAUUGGGCGAUGGACGCAAGCCUGAUCCAGCCAUACCGCGUGGGUGAAGAAGGCCUUCGGGUUGUAGAGCCCUUUUGUUGGGAAAGAAAAGCAGCAGGUUAAUACCCCGCUGUUCUGACGGUACCCAAAGAAUAAGCACCGGCUAACUUCGUG
rnacentral:rRNA from 1 species